GAAAUUAAUAUCCCCUGGAUAUUGUUUUCAGCCAGACACUGCAGUUAUCAAUUUACAAGCUGACACACAAAUAAGCGAUUUGUCACAAGAAACAGCAGGAAGAAAACCAUUGUGCAUGUGUGUGUGAGUGAGGGAAGAUUAGAGCCAAUUUAUACCAGUAAGUAAAAGGCUUUCUGGAAUAAUUCAUUACAACAAAGGAUUCACGCAGGGAGGGAACAUUUUUGAAGACUUUUGAAGACUGCACUAGCAAUAUGUCAGCAGCCCUUCUCCAGCACUUGCCACGGUGUAAGCACAUGGAUGAUUGUGUGAAACUCACAUUGUAGUCCAGCCCAUGAAGAGUUUACAGGAUUGAGCCCAAGAUUUCUAGGUAGAGAGAAUUUCCUGGGACCCCUUGUGAUAGCUGUCUAAAUCACUCCCCUCACUGGGCUGCUGCCCCCUUGCACCAUGCCGGCUCCUCCAUGGUUGGGGCUCGUUGCUGCCGCAAGCAGGACACUCUGGCUCUCCGGUGCCUCCGGAAGGUGGCUCCUCCCUGCCGAGCUGCUGCAGCGGCCCAAGCCCGGCAAAGCCACAGCAGCCCUUUCCACACCUGCUGGGCCAAGCCUCGCACUAGGGAUCCAGGUGCUGGAAUGGGUUAGCAGCAGGUCAGAAAAAAGAGAAAUGGAGGAUCUUUUCAGGCUUGUGGCAAGAAGGCGUCAAGGGCACCUUGACUUCAAGAGAGCCAAGGAGGAAAGGGACACACUGAAUGAGUAAAGACUGCUCAAGAAGUUCCUGGACUAAGAGCAAAAAACCAGCACAGGAUCAAAUGAUCAUGCAAGCAGCUGAUGAAUGUAGGGCAGCAGGGUGGUUCAGCUGGACCCUACCCACCUCCUAUGAGCGCUCCAGCACCAAUGCUUGUGCCAGCUGCAACAUCUGUAUAUAUGCCUGUGCAACCUCACAUUGAGUCCCCUCCACAGCCUGCAGCCCCACAAGCAUUGGAGAACCCUGGCUUCUCCUUCGGCAUCCACUCCUAUCCAAACCUCAGUCUCUGUGUAGCCACACAGAAGGCUAUCAGGCUGUGGUUUGCAAGGGAGAAUAGUAACAGCACUAGGAACAGCUGCUAGCAUUAGCACUGAUCACAGCUGUUGGAAGUUAAUUUGAAAACUAGAUUUGUUUAUUUUUAAAAAUCCAUUUUAGAUAGUUAAGGGUAUGUUUUGUUUUGGGGCUUUUUUGCCCUGUUGGAAGUUAUGUUGUACUUAUGUUUUACUGCACCCUUCAUUUAUCUUUCCCUGUUGUUGGUAGUUAUUUUACACUGUUGGUUAUUUUCACUUAUGCUUUACUACACCCUUCACUGUUAUACAAUUUGUUUUGAUGCACACAGAGUCUGAGUGGUGGACUACAGUUUAUAAUAAGGGUUCAAAUUCCCACUCAAACGAAGUGAAACACAACCCCAUCCAAGACGCUUGAAUCUCCAACCACCUACAUGUGUGAUAAGUGAUACUUUAAUGCCUGCACCACACCCAAGCACUCAUGUGCCCGUUAAAAAUGUAUCGAUUAAUAAGAAGCAUGGAAAAAUGGUAAUACAAGCAACCUUUAUUAAUCCAAUUUUAACAAUCCUAGGGCCCAUUACAUCACCACAUUUCACUCCUAUCACUCUAUUAAAGGGGAAGCAGCCGCACUAGGAACAGGUGCAUUUUCUGGUUGUAUGUACUGGACCUGCAACCAACAUUGUCUUGAAUCUACUCCCUAUGAACACGUUCACCUUUGGCAUCACAAAAGUUGUGGAGGGCACAGAAGCCCCCCAAAAAAUCAUAUAAAUGGCAUUGAUGUCCUUGGUAUCUGAAUGGUUCUGUAGCCAGCACCAUCUUGUCUUCAGCCUGCCAAACACAUAUGCCACCACUGGCCUGCAACUAUAAGCAUAGAAUUGAGCCUUCUCCUGCCAGGUUCUGUGUUGUCAGGAUAUAAUUACAUGAGCAGUGGUAGGAGCUGGGAGGCAGGAUCCUCCAAGAUAACAGUAGUCAUCAACACCCAAAUUGAUAAUAUUUUAGGAGGAAUUAAGGCCCCUGCUUCCCGCAACAAGUACUGUCCAAAUCUCCUUAAAACCUUCCCCUUGUGAACUUUGCCAGUAAUACACAUGUUGUUGUUCAUAGACCUACCUCUCUGGUCCAUCUAGGAUGGCAGAAUGUUAGAGUAGAACCCUUUCCAGUUUACAUAUUUGCUUGUUCCAUGUGGUGGGCAAAUCAAGGGCACAAGUGUGCCAUCAAUGACCUUGGCACAGUUGAGGGACUCCAUUCUCUGAAAGCCAGCUAUUAUGUCAGGCACAUUUCUAAUGUCAACCACAUAUGGUUAAGUUACAGUCACAAUUGCCUGGCAAAGCAUCACCACCAUGGCCCCAACAGUAGAUUUCCAGCACCAAACAGG